rnacentral:misc_RNA from 1 species
ACAUUAUACAUACUAACAAAGAUCCACAAACGCUUUAUAAAAAGAGCUAUAAGAAAAAUAUAGAACCUAAAGAGAAUAGGCUUGAUUAGUCAGAGAGAACACAUUGUUUGACCCGCGAGAUCACCUGGCCCUGCAUCAUUAGACUCUUAUCUGUGGGCAACAAUGAAAGAAAUUGUGUGGAGAGUCGUACAAGAGACAAUUUACGACAAGAACUCGUAGAAAGGAUUAAUGGUCAUUCGCUGAACUAAAACAAGAUAAACGUAAUAUUCGGAGAGUGAUAAACUCAAGCUUCGUAUGAUGGUGUACAGGCAGAGACCAGGUGAAGAUCAACUACGUUUUCCUUUGGAUGGUAUCAAAAUUCUUAUUGUGUUAAUCGAACAAUUCAUUGUUCCAUCUGAAUGCUUAAUAAUAGUCCAUACCAAAAACCAUUAGUUCAGGAGAUAUUUUAAUAGAGAUAUAACACAAGUAACUUGGAAGAGAGAAGUAUUAAGUUUAAGGGAUAUUUCAGUAAAAAGUACUUUUGCAAUAAAACAAAAAUAAUAAAUCUCCUUCGUAUCUGCUUUACGUAUUGAUUUCCAAAGAAAUCAAUGACAUCGAGUCUUGAGACUUUGAAAAUAG